rnacentral:rRNA from 1 species
UACGUAGGGCGCAAGCGUUGUCCGGAAUUAUUGGGCGUAAAGGGCGCGUAGGCGGCCAUCUAAGUCAGACGUGAAAUCCCCCGGCUUAACCUGGGAACUGCGUCUGAUACUGGAAGGCUUGAGUAUGGGAGAGGGAUGUAGAAUUCCAGGUGUAGCGGUGAAAUGCGUAGAUAUCUGGAGGAAUACCGGUGGCGAAGGCGGCAUCCUGGACCAUUACUGACGCUGAGGCGCGAAAGCUAGGGGAGCAAACGGG